rnacentral:snRNA from 10 species
GCAAAGUCACAUCUUGCAUGGCAGCAAGCAAGAGAGAGAGAGAGCUUAUGCAGGGAUACUCCUCUUUAUAAAACCAUCAGAUCUCAUGAGACUUAUUCACUAUCACGAGAAUAGCACAGGAAAGACCCACCCCCAGGAUUCAAUUACCUCCCACCGGGUCCCAAAGAAACGCAGCAGGCAGCACCCACACUCAUGCUGACUCUGAUUGUCAUCGAAUCCUCUUCUCUCCAAUUCCUAGUGGAGCAAAAGAGAAAUUUCCAAAAAGCUAUAGUGAGGAAAACAGGCAUAGAAAAAUGGGUAAGCUUUGCACAGUGACAGUAUCGGAGCCAAUGAGGUUUAUCCGAGGGGCGAUUAUUGCUAAUUGAAAACUUUUCCCAAUACCCAGCCGUGACGACUUGAAAUACAGUCGGCACUGGCAAUUUUUGACAGUCUCUAUGGAGACUGAAGUUUGUUGGAAUAAAAAAGAAAAAUGGAUAAAAGGUUUUUAAAACAGAAAGGGG